CCGGACGGGCGGCAGCCGGUGCUGCCUCGGUCCGGCGGGAGCGAAUAUUUGUGUCGAGAGUUGGCUGUUCCGUCCUAUUUUUGUCAGUAGGUGUGCGAGUUUUCACACUGUGUGCUAGGAUGCAGCAAUUUGUCGAUGUCAUUCACAAGGUCAUAUUUGUUGGAGAGAUGAGGCGAAUGCAAAUACUGUCAACAUAUCCUCUGUAGCACUCACUGUCUUCUCUUUAUAGUCACUAACUUCACUAGCUUUACUAACUUCAGUCACAGUGUUGACUGUUGAAGACUGAAGUCACUAACUUCAACACAGCAUCUAUAAUAUCCAUCUUUCUAGAUUCAGCUCGAUCCGCAGCAGCAGAGGGACUUCAGGAUCUAUGCGGUAGACAGAGAACCUAUCAGACAGCUACAAUAGGCAAUAUCUUUCGACAGAUGGAGCAAACCUCCUCCUCUUGACUGGUAGCGGUGGACAGAUUCUAUCGGACAGCUACAGUAGACAGAACCUCUUACCGGUAGCGGUAGACAGAACCUAUCGGACUGCAAGCAGUAGACAGACAGAACCUUUGACAGGACUAUCUGUAAGAAUCUUGGACAGGACCAGGACCUCUGCAGGCCGCGGGAGUGCGCUUUCUCUGGGUAGCUCGGGUGUGUGGGCGCCUUCCUAAGCUGGGUGGCGACUGGGGUGUGCCUCUGAUAGGAAGGCUGUUCAUUCAGCAGUCAGACAUGGUAACGGUGCCCACUGGCGGAAUGAGACGCGAAAUUGGAGAAAGUGGGACGGAAUAAUGAACGGAGCUUGGCGGGACGUCCCAAUCGGUUGACACUUGAGUCACUCGAGGCACUCGAAGGUUAAGUUACGCUUCAAUUAUUGAGCUAAAAGCUGUAUGAACAAUCUCGGUAAAUUUAUCUGUAGACAGGUAGGUACUGUUAUGAUAAAAGGUGAACACCUAACGUUCAUCUCUAAAGUAAACAAUGAAACAUCCAAGACAAAUUUCAUACCUCACGACUAAAGCCCGAUUAGGGUAUCCCUAAAACGCACAAAUAAUUUAGCCGUGGGUGCAAGCUUGUGCAAUGGCCAGUGCCCCCCCUCCCCCUCCCCAAUGCAGUGUGGUUAAAGACCGUGGUAAAACUACAUGCAUGUCCUCAAUAAGAUAACUUGAUUUCACCAUAAUUGUGAUUGCUGGCAUCUCUCCAUGACCUUCUCAACACCUGACACUUCAAACUCCACGCCAUAAGCUGCAUAAACUACAAUGAGGAGUGGGGCGCAGAUCGCUGCUGUAGAGCAGAGUUGUAACUCUGACCGACUGAAGUGUCGUUACGUAAUCGUACCGUCCGGAGCGGAGUACGACGCGUCCUGCCGACAGCCGUCCAGGCACGUUUACGGGCAUUCGCCGUCCAGGGCAGGUGGCUAUCGCAGUUUAGCCGCACGAUCUGUGGUAAUAACCGGGAAGUAUGCCGUGUAAAGCAACAUGGAUCUCAUGACUGGGCAUUGACAGUGCUAAGCGCGUGUAUAGAGUGACCAUGGAGGUGUAAUUAUCGUACACUUCAUCAAUGGUAAAGUGCAUAUGUGUCGCUGAUAGAGAAAAUGUGUAGAAUAGUCAAUCACAAACUUGGCUAGUAGGCGGUUCCACUUCGUUGUAUUUAGAUUGCAGCGAGGCAUGCAUACAUUUUACACAGCUAAGAAUUAUCGCCGCCUUAAUAGUGAAAUGAUGCAUCACGAGUAACUGAAAUAUAGAUCAAAUAUAUGUAUGAAU